GAUGAAGAACGUAGCGAAAUGCGAUACGUAAUGUGAAUUGCAGAAUUCAGUGAAUCAUCGAGUCUUUGAACGCACAUUGCGCCCCCUGGUAUUCCGGGGGGCAUGCCUGUCCGAGCGUCAUUGCUGCCCUCAAGCACGGCUUGUGUGUUGGGCCUCCGUCCUCCUCCCGGGGGACGGGCCCGAAAGGCAGCGGCGGCACCGCGUCCGGUCCUCGAGCGUAUGGGGCUUCGUCACCCGCUCUUGUAGGCCCGGCCGGCGCUUGCCGACACAUCAAUCUUUUUUCCAUGUUGACCUCGGAUCAGGUAGGGAUACCCGCUGAACUUAAGCAUAUCAAUAAGCGGAGGA
rnacentral:misc_RNA from 1 species